CUGGAAAGGCAUAUUCCUCAGCUUCCUACGGGCCGGCGGUGUGAAGGCCUACGGAGCCACGAGGUCUGCGUGCGGCCCAGGAGCGGCCUGCAGGGUUUGGAAACCCACAGCAGCGGGUCAGACCCGAGGAAAGAAACUGCAAUUGUGGAGAGCACCAGAUGUAAGCCUACGGAAUGGAGAAGUAUUUUUGUGUUUUGUGGGUUCGGGGGGGAUUUUUUUUUUUUCUCCUUCUUUUUUUGUUGUUGCUUGUUUGCUUGAUUCUUCUUUUUUUAGUCAAUCCAGAGGACUGACUCAGGGCCUCUCCUUCUCCACAGGCAGAACAGAAGUCUCUGCUGGUUUGCUUGUUGCAAAAGGCCCCCGCU
rnacentral:lncRNA from 1 species